CUCGUGGCCAAAAUAUUUGAAAUCCAAAGCUUAUAUAAAAGAUGAAGAGCUAUAAUUCAAAAGGUCCAAAAAGUAUAGCCAAAUCCGUGAAAGGAAUCAGAGCUUUGCAUGAGGGAGAUACAUUCCUUAUUUUAUAAUAAUUUCUAACAUUUUGUAACAGCAAAUUUUGAUAACACAAAAAAUCCGUAUUGUCAUGCCAGUACCGAAGAACUAGCUAGUGGGCUGGUGAUACCCUCGGGGACUAACAGUCCACCAGCAGAGGCAUCGACCCAAUGGUAGUAAUAACAUUAACGGUACCAAUUUUCCUGCACCAGAUGCGCAUUCCGA
rnacentral:lncRNA from 1 species